CGGGGUGCAGCAGGCGCGAAAACUCUACAAUGCAGGCAACUGCGAUAGGGGAACAUCGAGUGAUCCUCAUAUUGGGGGUCUGUCCCACCGUCUAAAAAACGGUGGUUAGCAAGGGCCGGGCAAGACCGGUGCCAGCCGCCGCGGUAAUACCGGCGGCUCGAGUGGUGGCCGAUAUUAUUGAGUCUAAAGGGUCCGUAGCCGGCUUUGCAAGUCUCUCGGGAAAUCCAGCGGCUUAACCGUUGGUCGUCCGGGGGGUACUACAUUGCUUGGGACUGGGAGAGGUAGGAGGUACUCAGGGGGUAGGAGUGAAAUCCUGUAAUCCUCUGGGGACCACCGGUGGCGAAGGCGUCCUACCAGAACAGGUCCGACGGUGAGGGACGAAAGCUAGGGGCACGAACCGGAUUAGAUACCCGGGUAGUCCUAGCCGUAAACGAUGCUCGCUAGGUGUCACAACAGUCGUGAACUGUUGUGGCGCCGUAGGGAAGCCGUGAAGCGAGCCACUUGGGAAGUACGACCGCAAGGUUGAAACUUAAAGGAAUUGGCGGGGGAGCACAAGGGCGAAUCGCG
rnacentral:rRNA from 1 species